rnacentral:antisense_RNA from 1 species
GCAGCGCAGGGCCCCGAGGACGGCCUGGCCCGGAGAAAAGAUACCGAAGCUCCAACUUUCCCCAACCCCGCUCCCCUCCUCCUUCCACCCUCCCUUCCCGCCCCCAAAGCUCGGGGGUCCCAUCCCGCCGCCGGUCCGCGGAGUCUCCCGAACCCUGCGGGGACCCCGCGCUCGGCGGUGCCCUCCUGGGGCGCAUGGGGCUGGGGCGGGAGCGAGGAGACCAGGUGGGGAGGGGACCCCAGAUCUCAGACGCCCGGGGAGACGGCGUUUCCCGCUGUUCAUUCAAGUUUGUGCCAAAAGGAGCCUCACAGAUGCAGUAUUGGGUUUGGUAGACUCAAAUCGUCUUGUUUUAAUGUAAAUGAAAUCCUCCGACCCAGGCACGAGCGCGCAUCGCGGAGGCCACGAUGCCCGUUUUAUUCCCUCUCCACGGCGAGGAAAAGCAGCGAAAUCUGAGGUCUUCAGAGGUUAACCCUAUCUAGGAGCAGAAUGUGACGCAUUGUAAACAAAUAAAUAUUGAAAACUCGAUGUUAAACACUUUA